GACGGCUGUUCGUGGAGGAUUGUGUAGCCAGACACGGCAGAGUAUAAGGGCUGCUUAAAGAACGCAGUGGCUGACUGUAAACCAAGUGAGGAAGAGAAGACUGAAUUGAGGAGAAAGCUCCAGGUCUGGUUUCCUGACCUCCAAAUGCCUGACUAUAAACCAAGUGAGGAAGAGAAAGCUAAAUUCAUAAGAAAGCUUCAGUCUGGUUUCCUGACCGGACAGAAGAACACCUGACAGCACCCAAACC
rnacentral:lncRNA from 1 species